rnacentral:rRNA from 2 species
AGAGUUUGAUCCUGGCUCAGGAUGAACGCUGGCGGCAUGCCUAAUACAUGCAAGUCGAACGAGAGGAAGGAAAGCUUGCUUUCCUAAAUCUAGUGGCGAACGGGUGAGUAACACGUAGGUAACCUGCCCAUGUGCCCGGGAUAACUUCUGGAAACGGAUGCUAAAACCGGAUAGGUAGCAGACAAGCAUUUGACUGCUAUUAAAGUGGCUAAGGCCAUGAACAUGGAUGGACCUGCGGUGCAUUAGCUAGUUGGUGAGGUAACGGCCCACCAAGGCGACGAUGCAUAGCCGGCCUGAGAGGGCGGACGGCCACAUUGGGACUGAGACACGGCCCAAACUCCUACGGGAGGCAGCAGUAGGGAAUUUUCGUCAAUGGGGGGAACCCUGAACGAGCAAUGCCGCGUGAGUGAGGAAGGUCUUCGGAUCGUAAAGCUCUGUUGUAAGAGAAAAACGGCACUCAUAGGGAAUGAUGAGUGAGUGAUGGUAUCUUACCAGAAAGUCACGGCUAACUACGUGCCAGCAGCCGCGGUAAUACGUAGGUGGCGAGCGUUAUCCGGAAUGAUUGGGCGUAAAGGGUGCGUAGGUGGCAGAUCAAGUCUGGAGUAAAAGGUAUGGGCUCAACCCGUACUUGCUCUGGAAACUGAUCAGCUAGAGAACAGAAGAGGACGGCGGAACUCCAUGUGUAGCGGUAAAAUGCGUAGAUAUAUGGAAGAACACCGGUGGCGAAGGCGGCCGUCUGGUCUGGAUUCUGACACUGAAGCACGAAAGCGUGGGGAGCAAAUAGGAUUAGAUACCCUAGUAGUCCACGCCGUAAACGAUGAGAACUAGGUGUUGGGGGAAUAACUCAGUGCCGCAGUUAACGCAAUAAGUUCUCCGCCUGGGGAGUAUGCACGCAAGUGUGAAACUCAAAGGAAUUGACGGGGGCCCGCACAAGCGGUGGAGUAUGUGGUUUAA